rnacentral:rRNA from 1 species
AACGAACGCUGGCGGCAGGCUUAACACAUGCAAGUCGAACGAACCUUCGGGUUAGUGGCGCACGGGUGCGUAACGCGUGGGAAUAUACCUCUGGGUGCGGAACAACGUUUGGAAACGAACGCUAAUACCGCAUAAUAUCUACGGAUCAAAGAUUUAUCGCCCAGAGAUUAGCCCGCGUCUGAUUAGCUAGUUGGUGAGGUAAUGGCUCACCAAGGCGACGAUCAGUAGCUGAUCUGAGAGGAUGAUCAGCCACACUGGAACUGAGACACGGUCCAGACUCCUACGGGAGGCAGCAGUUAGGAAUAUUGGACAAUGGGGGAAACCCUGAUCCAGCCAUGCCGCGUGUGUGAAGAAGGCCUUAGGGUUGUAAAGCACUUUCAGCCGUGAAGAUAAUGACAGUAGCGGAAGAAGAAGCUCCGGCUAAAUUCGUGCCAGCCGCCGCGGUAA